GAAGACCGCCGGGCAGCCGCGGCGCGGCAUGUUCCGCGUCGAGGAAAGUCCGGGCCCCAUAGAGCAGGAUGCCGGCUAACGGCCGGGCGCCGCGAGGCGACGGACAGGGCAACAGAAAGUACACCGCCGAUGGCCCGCCAGGGCACAGGCAAGGGUGAAAUGGUGGGGUAAGAGCCCACCGCGGGCGUGGCAACACGCACGGCACGGUAACCCCCAUCCGGGGCAAGGCCAAAUAGGGAAGCGAUAGCGUGGCUCGCGCUGCUUCCGGGUAGGCCGCUAGAGCGCGCCGGUAACGGCGCGCCCAGAGGAAUGGCUGCUCACGACAGAACCCGGCUUACAGGCGGUCUUCCC
rnacentral:RNase_P_RNA from 1 species